UGUGUGACUGCGUACCUUUUGUAUAAUGGGUCAGCGACUUAUAUUCUGUAGCAAGGUUAACCGAAUAGGGGAGCCGGAGGGAAACCGAGUCUUAAUUGGGCGUUAAGUUGCAGGGUAUAGACCCGAAACCCGGUGAUCUAGCCAUGGGCAGGUUGAAGGUUGGGUAACACUAACUGGAGGACCGAACCGACUAAUGUUGAAAAAUUAGCGGAUGACCUGUGGCUGGGGGUGAAAGGCCAAUCAAACCGGGAGAUAGCUGGUUCUCCCCGAAAGCUAUUUAGGUAGCGCCUCGUGAAUUCAUCUCCGGGGGUAGAGCACUGUUUCGGCUAGGGGGCCAUCCCGGCUUACCAACCCGAUGCAAACUGCGAAUACCGGAGAAUGUUAUCACGGGAGACACACGGCGGGUGCUAACGUCCGUCGUGAAGAGGGAAACAACCCAGACCGCCAGCUAAGGUCCCAAAGUCAUGGUUAAGUGGGAAACGAUGUGGGAAGGCCCAGACAGCCAGGAUGUUGGCUUAGAAGCAGCCAUCAUUUAAAGAAAGCGUAAUAGCUCACUGGUCGAGUCGGCCUGCGCGGAAGAUGUAACGGGGCUAAACCAUG
rnacentral:rRNA from 1 species